rnacentral:rRNA from 1 species
UACGUAGGGUGCAAGCGUUGUCCGGAAUUAUUGGGCGUAAAGAGCUCGUAGGCGGUUUGUCGCGUCUGCUGUGAAAACCCGAGGCUCAACCUCGGGCCUGCAGUGGGUACGGGCAGACUAGAGUGCGGUAGGGGAGAUUGGAAUUCCUGGUGUAGCGGUGGAAUGCGCAGAUAUCAGGAGGAACACCAAUGGCGAAGGCAGAUCUCUGGGCCGUAACUGACGCUGAGGCACGAAAGCGUGGGGAUCAAACAGG